CUAAAGAUAAUAGAAAUCUUAUUUUUAAAAAUGCGGAGGAUAAU
rnacentral:sRNA from 1 species